rnacentral:rRNA from 1 species
AUUGAACGCUGGCGGCAGGCCUAACACAUGCAAGUCGAGCGAGCGGCGGACGGGUGAGUAAUGUAUGGGUCUGCCCGAUAGAGGGGGAUAACCACUGGAAACGGUAGCUACUCCCGCAUACUAUCGGAUCACCCAUAUGGUCUUCGCUAGUAGGUUAGGUAAUGGCUAACCUAGGCGACGAUCCCUAGCUGGGUUGAGAGGAUGAUCAGACACACUGGGACUGAGACACGGCCCAGACUACUACGGAGGCAGCAGUGGGGAAUAUUGCACAAUGGGCGCAAGCCUGAUGCAGCCAUGCCGCGUGUAUGAAGAAGGCCCUAGGGUUGUAAAGUACUUUCAGUCGGGAGGCGUUACCGACAGAAGAAGCACCGGCUAACUCCGUGCCAGCAGCCGCGGUAAUUC